rnacentral:tRNA from 1 species
CGGGGCGUGGCACAGCCUGGUAGUGCACCUGCCUUGGGAGCAGGGGGUCGUCGGUUCAAAUCCGGCCGCCCCGA